AACAAGAGAAGAUCUAAAAUCAUUCUCUCCUCCCAACUUCAACUUUAACUUUCACCUUCAACGGUUCAACCUUCACAUUUGAAAAGUCGAUAAAACUAAAUUGCAUGAAUUGAUCCAUUCAAGUAUCCAAAUAGAUUAUCAAUCUCCAAGCUUUUAAAUUCAAAAAAAAAAAAAAAAACAGCAUCAUCAUCAUCAACUACGGAGUUCGUCGGCAUCACCAUCAACUACUUUUUUAUGGGUUCGAGAUUCCGAUUUGUGAACAAAUUCAACCAAAUUCAGAUUCACGAAUUCAUCCCAACAAUCGCAAUCCAAAAAUUGAUGAUGUGGGUGAAAAUUUAACAUCAAAGUUCUAUGUGAUCAGAUUUGUGAAUCAUAAGUUUCUUGAGCAUGGAUAAUGUCUCAAAUGAAGGUAAAAGUUCAAGAACAAGAAAAUUAGCGCUCGAAACAAUACAAUUACCUGAUGGUCUAGCGGAGCCGAUUCUGGAGGAUGUGGAAGCUCAAACGGUGUAACGAACCACUUUUCAGCCUAAUGUUAACAGAAAUUAAGUGUUGUAACGUUGAUCAAAGUGGACUUCCUACCAUUUUCAAUUCUAUUUAGGUAAGAAUAUUAAUCCUCCUUCGUUGUUUUGGUUGUUUGAAAAUUUAUUAUUGAAUAAGUUCAAUAAUUUGUCAGUAAAGGAAGUUCAGUAAAUUUGAUUUUGAUAUAUCCUAGAACUGUAGAAUUAAUGAAAAGAUCGUUACAAUAAUUUGUUGCAACGCAUUUUUUAAUCAAACCAUGGUUAGUGUAGUGAUGAAUUAAAAACCUCUUUGCCAGAGAACCUAACCAUUUAGAUAAAAGAUCUGGUACUUAAACAAUAGAGUCAUAAUUCACAAGGUGAGCUUGGGAUGAAUGGAUGAUGGAGACAUGUUCGAUUGAAAGAGUCAGAGAGAUCUUUCUUUCAAGUCUGUAAGCCAGUUUUAGCAUAUAGGAAAACUUAAAAUAUGUAUCAGUAUUAACAAGUUAUGUUUGUUUGUGAUGUGUGGCUUUAAAAUGCUAUUUUACUAAUCCUGUAGAAUCAUUGCCUCAUUGGGUUGAGGAAUUUAGGAUCAGUGCAAAAAGUAAAUGAUAACUGCUGCAAUUAUCAGUUUUUUCACACAUUUCUGAUAACUUUAUAUUUAAGGAGGUAACUUUUCUAUAUACAGAUCUUUCAUACUCCAUUAGGGAAGAGUUAUGCUUCAGGGCAGUUGUAGCCUUACAAUUGGUAUAGAAAACAACAACCUUGAUUUCAUCUUGGUAAUCCAGAUGUUUAACUCUGCAUUUCUGGUAAAUUUCUUUUAUAAAGUAAAGAAUUAACAGCCCUCUCAUAUCAUUGAAACUAAUGUGCAUCUUUGGAGAUCUUUAAAUAUAUCUUAUCUAUAUCUAUAUAGUAUUUAAUAACAGGGAAUUUAAAGAAAAGUUAGAGUGUCACGUGUCCUCUAUUUAUUUUUCGUUUAUUAAAAAGUAUGGAUUUUCCCCCCUCUUUUACUCCUCACAUGAGUCCCGUCGUUUCAAUUAACCACCUUCUAAUAACAAAAAAAUCAAUUAACCAUGCUCCAUGGGAAGUUAGGCACAUUUUCAGCCAUUUCUUUCUCUCGAUCUCCUUCCAAAUCAUGAAUUGGGCGAAUUUUCUAUGUCAUCAUCAAUUUCUCUAUUUCCUUUUCCAGGGGUCAGAUUUUCGGUUUGUUGUAGACGAAUUUGUGUUUGAUCUGUUAAUCUUUGAUAUGGUUUUUUUUAUUGUUCAAUUGCAGCAAUUGAAUUUACUUCACUAUUAUAUUGUGACUUUAUGUUUGUGUCUGACAAAUUAAACCAGGUAGAUCUACUGGUGCCUAAUUUUUCUUUUUCUUUCUUUUCUAUUCACUGAUAUUAAUUCCAAUUUUCUGUGUGUUUUAGGGUUAAUGAAAAUUGUAGAAUUGUGCAAUUGGAAUAUGAUUUCUCUAAGGUCAGAAAUGAUUUGUUCUGUUCAGUUCAAUACUCUAUUCAUCAAUUUUGACCGCAUUAUCUAUGGAGUAUUAUUUAGCCUUUUAAGUUAGAGCGAUAAAUUGUAAGGAGUACAAAUUAGUAAUAUAUUACAAUAAUAUACGGAGUAGUUAGUAAAUUUGUGUGAUGAAAUUGACGGUAAUGUUAGUCAAUUUUUUAUUUUAUUUUUUUGGUAUGGGCACUGAAAUCAUUAGUUUUGUUGUUUGUGAUUUUCCUUUUUUCUCUCAUUUUAGUCUCUGAUCAUUCCAUUAGAAUUAGUUUUGUUUUCGUUAACAAGAACUGGGUUUGCACUUGGAUGACAACAUCUUUCAUGAAGUAAAAACGUUGUUUAAUUU